GAAAGCCGUAUUCAAUGAAAGUUGUAUAUACGGUUUGAAGGGAGAUUUUUUACAUUUUUAAUUAAUCCACCCUAC
rnacentral:ncRNA from 1 species